rnacentral:rRNA from 1 species
GACGAACGCUGGCGGCGUGCUUAACACAUGCAAGUCGAACGGAAAGGCCCCCUUGUGGGGUACUCGAGUGGCGAACGGGUGAGUAACACGUGAGUAACCUACCCUUGACUUUGGGAUAACUUCAGGAAACUGGGGCUAAUACCGGAUAGGAGCUCCUGCUGCAUGGUGGGGGUUGGAAAGUUUCGGCGGUUGGGGAUGGACUCGCGGCUUAUCAGCUUGUUGGUGGGGUAGUGGCUCACCAAGGCUCUGACGGGUAGCCGGCCUGAGAGGGUGACCGGCCACAUUGGGACUGAGAUACGGCCCAGACUCCUACGGGAGGCAGCAGUGGGGAAUAUUGCACAAUGGGCGGAAGCCUGAUGCAGCAACGCCGCGUGCGGGAUGACGGCCUUCGGGUUGUAAACCGCUUUCGCCUGUGACGAAGCGUGAGUGACGGUAAUGGGUAAAGAAGCACCGGCUAACUACGUG